rnacentral:rRNA from 1 species
UACGUAGGGGGCAAGCGUUGUCCGGAUUUACUGGGCGUAAAGAGCGCGUAGGCGGAAGGUGAAGCGUGGCCUGAAAGCCCCCGGCUCAACCGGGGAGGGCGGCUGCGAACUGGCCUUCUUGAGGGCGAUAGAGGGGGGCGGAAUUCCUGGUGUAGCGGUGAAAUGCGUAGAUAUUGGGAGGAACACCAGUGGCGAAGGCGGCUCACUGGACCGGUACUGACGCUGAUGCGCGAAAGCGUGGGGAGCAAACGGG